GAUGAACGCUGACAGAAUGCUUAACACAUGCAAGUCGAUUCGAUUUACCUUCGGGUAUUGAGGAUGGCGGACGGGUGAGUAACGCGUAAGGAACUUGCCUCUUGGUCUGGGACAACUGUUGGAAACGACAGCUAAUACCGGAUAUUAUGAGAUUCUCGCAUGGGAAACUUAUGAAAGCUAUAUGCGCCAAGAGAGAGCCUUGCGUUCCAUUAGCUAGUUGGUGGGGUAACGGCCCACCAAGGCGACGAUGGAUAGCCGGCCUGAGAGGGUGAACGGCCACAAGGGGACUGAGACACGGCCCUUACUCCUACGGGAGGCAGCAGUGGGGAAUAUUGGACAAUGGGCCACAAGCCUGAUCCAGCAAUUCUGUGUGCACGAUGAAGGUCUUCGGAUUGUAAAGUGCUUUCAGUUGGGAAGAAGAAAGUGACGGUACCAACAGAAGAAGCGACGGCUAAAUACGUGCCAGCAGCCGCGGUAAUACGUAUGUCGCAAGCGUUAUCCGGAUUUAUUGGGCGUAAAGCGCGUCUAGGCGGAAAAAUAAGUCUGAUGUUAAAAUGCGGGGCUCAACUCCGUAUUGCGUUGGAAACUGUUUUUCUAGAGUACUGGAGANGUGGGCGGAACUACNAGUGUAGAGGUGAAAUUCGUAGAUAUUUGUAGGAAUGCCGAUGGAGAAGUCAGCUCACUGGACAGAUACUGACGCUAAAGCGCGAAA
rnacentral:rRNA from 1 species